UGUUUCUAAUGACAACAGUACAGGGAGCUUCAGACUUGCACCAUUAUGGAAACACAAAUGGGAGCAUUGUUACGACCAAAGCAAGCUCAUGACGCGCCGUGAGUCAAAAAGACAUCUAGAAAGUCCAAGGACACAAAUGGACCAUCAGAGCGGUCACAGCACUUCCUGUUUGUCAAUCUGAUGCGAGGGAGCGAGCUGCACAGUCCUUGACAAUCGCCUGUAGGAGGACUCCAUGAGUGCCUGGUACUUUCCAGCUCUCCACCUGCUCAUCUCUUUGUGCACUGCACAGUCUCUUAAGGGGCCCGUGUGGUCGGACUUGUUCUGCCUGUUCUCCCGCAGACAAAAGGCCUGCAUGUGGAUCCGCUUUGGAGGCGGACAGUCCAGAGCCAACAUUGACACACAUGGUGUCAUUGGGGGAACACACCAACACAACAUGCAUGUUUACCGUCUAAUAAAGGAUGUAAACAGGGCUGAGUGAUGAGGGGAAAAUACAAGAAGUGGUGAGCCCACAAUGGUCCGAUUGUUAGAUGGGCUACCGGCCGGGUUAGGCGCCAUAUCAGGUUUCACAAAUUUAACCAGAAGGAAGAAAAGAGAGGACAUUGUUCUCUAAAUCUGCAGAGAAACUACUUUUCUAUUUCCUCACUUUGAGUUGGCGUGGGUCAGUAUUGCAAGGCUCAUUGAUCGAAUGACUUCUUAAAGAUGGCACCAAUGGGUGGGCAUGCAGGAAUCUUAUUUAAUAAAGCAACAAGCCAAGAUUGGCAGGCUAUUAAAGACAUUCCUGGACUUGA